AAAAUUCUAGAGAAUUUUAGUGGAAGUAUGCAAUAACUAGACAGAAAAGAAAAUCCAAUAGCAGCAAUAUCAAGGGCAGGAUUCACUUUCCAGACAAUUUUAUUGUCUACCAAAGAAAAGUUAUCUUCAAAUAUGGCAUACUAACAGUGAGUGCACCUGUAACAGUGUAAAGAACGUAGAGAACUUUAGAAGAGUUCAACAAGAUGAACGCACAUCAAUGGUAGGUUCCUUGUCUCGGAUCCACGACGCACAGUUAGUUCCAAAACAUAGAGAACUUUAGAAGAGUUCAACAAGAUGAACGCACAUCAUUGGUAGGUUCCUUGUCUCGGAUCCACGACGCACAGUUAGUUCCACACCACUUCCUUUCAGGUCCUCUGUAUACCACGAAAAAGCAAUAACAAUAAAUGAAGAGGAAAAAAACUUAUGCAACAAACAGAAACUGCUGUCCAAUGAACCCAGAAUAACACUUAACUCAUCAACAAUAAUGAACAAUAGCGUACAAAAUGAAAUUGCAAUUGAGGACGGAGUUUUAGCAAUAAACAGUCCUUCAGUAUUUAGUGCUACACAGUG
rnacentral:lncRNA from 1 species